GCCAAGGUCUAUGGUUUUGUCCCUUUAUAGCCUUCACUCAGGAAAUCAUAUUAUCUCCAGCAAGAUUCCAUGGUCUGCAGUCUUAUCUUAAAAGAACAUGAGAUGAUCAAGAGGCCGAAGAGGACAUCAAUAGACAACUUGCCAUUCAUUGUGGGCUGUCUGUUCACCAUAAAGCAAUCACAUCAAUAGACAACUUGCCAUUCAUUGUGGACUGUCUGUUCACCAUAAAGCAAUCACGUUUUAUGAGUUCAGAGGCUGGUUUUUGGUUUCUGUUCAUUUUGGGUUUGGGUGUUCCUUCUUUUGUUUUUAGUGACUGUAUUUGCAUUGUCACUUUUUAUCUGCCCAUUAUAAUAAUUGGUCUUAGAAAGAAAUCUUCAUUUUUGUCUACAUUGUAGAAUCAAGAUAAGGAAUAAAAAACAGUUUAGAUUGGGGUCAGCAAGAAAAUUACUGAAUGAGUUGCUUUGUGGCUCUUCUUCCUUCCUUAAUGAAGCUGAAUAUUGUUGUGUCCUUGUAGGAAAAUGCUCUAGACCUGGGAUGUGGCUGGAAGAGGAAGACCAGGGCUUCCUGAAGAAAGGCGUCAGAUGGAAAGAACCACAGAUCUUGACAAACUCCACACUCUGUAGACUACUAUCCAGAUCAAGUGGAUUCAAUCCAUGGAUGCUGAAGCCAUUUGAAAUGGUAGCUGCUCCUAGCUUCCUCCUUGUAAAUCAGACCAUUCAUCUCUCUACCAUGUCCACAGGAGGCCUGAGGAGGGACCAGGCCAGGCUGGUUUUCAAACAGAAGCAUCAGAAUCUCCAAACACAUGCCCCUUGGAACAGGCUCAUAAUCUGAUGCCAUCUGCAAGCUGCAGCUCAAGCCAAGACUCCAUGCUUUGGGCUUCCUUGUACUGGCUCAGUGGUUUCCUCACCUGUGCAUGUACAUUUUUGUGCAUGCAUGCAUGUGGGAUGGGACAUGUUUGAGUGAAUGCCUCUUCAGGUGCACCUAGCACAGUCUCUGGGCUCUACUGAUAAGAUAUCUCACACAUACUAUGUACAGUUAUCUGUCAAAUGCUACAAAUGUUGCAAUGAAUAAAAUACAUUUUAAAGCAUAGCUUUUUGUCA
rnacentral:lncRNA from 13 species